GUACACUCCUGCGGGAGGCAGCAGUGGGGAAUUUUGGACAAUGGGCGAAAGCCUGAUCCAGCCAUGCCGCGUGCAGGAUGAAGGCCUUCGGGUUGUAAACUGCUUUUGUACGGAACGAAACGGCCUUUUCUAAUAAAGAGGGCUAAUGACGGUACCGUAAGAAUAAGCACCGGCUAACUACGUGCCAGCAGCCGCGGUAAUACGUAGGGUGCAAGCGUUAAUCGGAAUUACUGGGCGUAAAGCGUGCGCAGGCGGUUAUGUAAGACAGUUGUGAAAUCCCCGGGCUCAACCUGGGAACUGCAUCUGUGACUGCAUAGCUAGAGUACGGUAGAGGGGGAUGGAAUUCCGCGUGUAGCAGUGAAAUGCGUAGAUAUGCGGAGGAACACCGAUGGCGAAGGCAAUCCCCUGGACCUGUAUUGACGCUCAUGCACGAAAGCGUGGGGAGCAAACAGGAUUAGAUACCCUGGUAGUCCCAUG
rnacentral:rRNA from 1 species